CACGCCGUAAACGAUGAUUACUCGCUGUUGGCGAUACACUGUCAGCGGCUAAGCAAAAGCAAUAAGUAAUCCACCUGGGGAGUACGGCCGCAAGGUUGAAACUCAAAGGAAUUGACGGGGGCCCGCACAAGCGGAGGAACAUGUGGUUUAAUUCGAUGAUACGCGAGGAACCUUACCUGGGCUUAAAUGUAGAGUGCAUUUUCUAGAGAUAGGAAUUCCCUUCGGGGCUUUCUACAAGGUGCUGCAUGGUUGUCGUCAGCUCGUGCCGUGAGGUGUCGGGUUAAGUCCCAUAACGAGCGCAACCCUUAUCGUUAGUUGCCAUCUGGUAAAGCAGGGGACUCUAGCGAAACUGCCACCGUAAGGUGA
rnacentral:rRNA from 1 species